rnacentral:rRNA from 1 species
CCUACGGGAGACAGCAGUAGGGAAUUUUGCGCAAUGGGCGAAAGCCUGACGCAGCAAAGCCGCGUGAUCGAGACGCCCUUCGGGGUGUAAAGAUCUGUCAGUGUGGACGAAAAUUGACGGUACCCACAGAGGAAGCACCGGCUAACUCCGUGCCAGCAGCCGCGGUAAUACGGGGGGUGCAAGCGUUGUCUGGAGUCAGUGGGGGUAACGAGCUCGUAGGCGGCACGGAAAGUCGGGUGGAAACGGCAGGGGCUCAACGUCGGUACGGCACUGGAUACUUGCGAGCUAGUAGGAGGUAGAGGUAAAGGGAAUGCCUGGGGUAGCGGUGAAAUGCUUAGAAAUCAGAAGGAACAUCGGUGGCGAAAGCAGUGUACUGGGCCGUAAUUGACGCUGAGGAACGAAAGCCAGGGUAGCAAAUGGGAUUAGAUACCGCUUAGUC